GCGGACGUGGUGGAAUGGUAGACACGCUGGUCUUAGAAGCCAGUGCCUUUGGUGUGAGAGUUCAAGUCUCUCCGUCCGCACCA
rnacentral:tRNA from 1 species